GGCUCAGGACGAACGCUGGCGGCGUGCCUAAUACAUGCAAGUCGAGCGGACCGACGGGAGCUUGCUCCCUUAGGUCAGCGGCGGACGGGUGAGUAACACGUGGGUAACCUGCCUGUAAGACUGGGAUAACUCCGGGAAACCGGGGCUAAUACCGGAUGCUUGAUUGAACCGCAUGGUUCAAUCAUAAAAGGUGGCUUUUAGCUACCACUURCAGAUGGACCCGCGGCGCAUUAGCUAGUUGGUGAGGUAACGGCUCACCAAGGCGACGAUGCGUAGCCGACCUGAGAGGGUGAUCGGCCACACUGGGACUGAGACACGGCCCAGACUCCUACGGGAGGCAGCAGUAGGGAAUCUUCCGCAAUGGACGAAAGUCUGACGGAGCAACGCCGCGUGAGUGAUGAAGGUUUUCGGAUCGUAAAACUCUGUUGUUAGGGAAGAACAAGUACCGUUCGAAUAGGGCGGCACCUGAC
rnacentral:rRNA from 1 species